AUGGCAUCUAGACUUACACAAGAGGAAGAAAACUAUGUCAGGAUGAGCCUUUUACUGACGGGAAUAUCUCCUCGUGCAGCACGAGGUUUGUUUGAUCACGAAUUUGUUCCGUCAUGCUUGAAUGCAACAAUAACGAAAGAGUACAAUAAACUUAAAGAUCUUCAGAAGAAGCGAAUAAUUAACCAGCAGCAGUGGAAUUUGCUGUUCCCAAGACGCCCCCGUAAGUAACAUUGGCCUAGCUAUGUUAAUAUCAAAAGGCACAUGUCUACACAGUGUGAAACCAAAUAUAAAAAAUAGUUGUUUAAUAUGUUCUUUUCAUAUAUUUCAUGAUAGUAUGACACUAAACCCCUAACGGGACGGAUUGUGCUUGAUAUUCAUAUAAUGAAGACAUAAUUUUUCAAUCAGUUUAAAUGAGGUCUGGAGCUUGCAUGUCAGUAUCUGCUUAUAGUCCAAUAUUUUGUUUAACAUCAUAGUGCGUCAUUUAUAAGGUUAUAUUUAAAAUGUAAUUGUUAUUAUUGUUAUGUAAUUGAUCUACUGAUAGGAUUUUUAUCUAAAACAAUUCUUUGAAAAAUCCAUAAAAUACUGAAAAAAGGAUAUGUUUUACGUAGUAUUGCGAUAAACAUUACUUUUGGUGUUAGUAUAUAUACACUACCAGAAUUUUAUACAGUGUAAACAUGUAGUUUAAGUUCCUUAAGGUAGCAAUAUACAGUUAGGAGAUGGGUUGUUCAUUUUGACCACGGUGAAUUGUUUAGUUCUAUUUCUAUAGGAAAGUUAUUGUGCAAUAAAAAUGAUUUUAGAUUGCUAAAGAAUAACAUUGCCUUCAAAAUGGGUUUAUUUAAACAUCAAGAUUUAUGUUACAUGAUAUAUAAAAAAAAGAAAAUGUGGUAAAGGCCAUUUUCUGUCUGACAGUCCGUAUUUUCACAUCGGUACAGCCCAUAGAUCCAUUAAUAAUUGUAGUGUUUUCAAAUCAUAUUUGAACCUCAAAUUUUCCAAUACAGUUAUGGAAAAAUUAGGUGAAAUGCAUAUGAAUUAUUUUGAUCUAUAGAUCGAUAUAAGUCAAUUGACUGCAUUUCUACUUUGAACCUAAUUUUGGUGACAAUUUUCACUUCCCCUUUUUGCAAUAUUUUGUUUCAAAUAAAUGCAGAUUAUUGCUUUGGUUUCGCCAAAAAGAGAUUUUAUUUUCACCAUUUCUAACUAUUGGAAAUCAACAUUUUGGAAGAUGCUGUGUCCAUACGUAUGAUCGUGAACAUAGUUUACAUAACACAAUCAUAUAAGCCUUAUUUGUUAUGAACCACGGAAAAGAGGGUGGUUGAAAUAAUGAGUUUCAUUUUUUUCCCUAACUGUGUAUUGCCAUAACUUGUCCCUAAAUAUAUGCAUUGUAUGAGCGAUAUUUCUUAAAACGUUUUUGUGAACUUGAAUACUAAUAAUUGUGUCACAGUGACUUUAUAUAUAAACAAUCCACGACACUUAAAUUUCAAUUUUAUGAAUGAACCGCACCGGUUGACUUUGCGUCAUUUGGGGGAAAAUGACAUACUGAGGUAAAAUAUAUAUUCUUCGUGAAGUCACAAUUUUCAAGGAAAAUCUCCAUGAAUUGGACCAGAGGGCAAAACAGAUUGAUAGUUGAAAAACACAAUGGAAAUAGGCAAACAAAAAUAUUCCAUUUCGUUGUUUAGGGUACAUGUAAUAAGAAUCAAAAUUAUAGUUGCUGGUGCCUAAAUAAAAAUUUGUUUGUAUCUGAUAUACAUAUUUUGCAUCAUCCUUAUGACCUUUAAUUGGAAUGUUUUGCUUAUCUCAAAGCAAAUUAAUUUACAUCGAUUUUAAAACAGAUUUGUCUAUUCUGAUUUGCUCAGUCAUUGCUCAAUCAAUAUACGUUUUUCUUUGACCACCUUUUUCUCAGUAAUGUCAAUAAAAAAUGUGCUCUGGCUCUCUCUUAUCCCAGGCAUAGAUUACCUUAGCGAAUUUGCAAUUUUUGCAAUUUGGAUCUCAAUGCUUACAACUUUGUACUUUUGGCUUAAAAUAUUUGAUAUGAGCGUCACUGAUGAGUCUUGUGUAGACGAAACGCGCGUCUGGCGUACUAAAUUAUAAUCCUGGUACCUUUGAUAACUAUCUCGUCUUAACAAGGCUUUUUUUAUACAGUUUGUCAGCUAUUCAUUUAAUCUAGUUUGUACACGCUUGUGCCAUGAUUUUAUUUAAUGGUUUGUAUGCUAGGGUAUCCCAAUUGUUAUCCCCACAUAGAGCAUAAUAUAUGCAAUAACUCCUUCUUUUGAAGGGGAGUACACAAGUAUGUCCGACCGAUACAGUCAAUUAUAUCUCUGAAACAAUCUGUUCUUUUCUGUGUAUUUCUAUAUAGAAAAGUUAUUAAUUCAAUAAUAAUUUUAUUUUGCAUACAUUUUAUUUAUAGAUGAACCUGAUUCCAGAAAAUUUGAUGUAACUCUUAUAAUAACACUUAUUAGACACCUGACUGAUCUGACCUCUCCUCAUGGUGGAUAUGACCAGUUACCAUCUGAUAAUGAAACGACACCAACCUCAGAUUUAGCCAGGAUAAAAUAUUACAGAAACAUUUUGGCUCACCUGGAUGAGGGGAAAAUAG
rnacentral:lncRNA from 1 species